UACAGAGGGUGCAAGCGUUAUUCGGAAUUACUGGGCGUAAAGGGUGCGUAGGUGGUUGAAUAAGUUAGGUGUGAAAGUCCUGGGCUUAACCUGGGGAUUGCGCCUAAUACUGUUUAGCUAGAGUACUGUAGAGGAAGGUGGAAUUUCCAGUGUAGCGGUGAAAUGCGUAGAUAUUGGAAGGAACAUCAGUGGCGAAGGCGACUUCCUGGACAGAUACUGACACUGAGGCACGAAAGCGUGGGGAGCAAACAGG
rnacentral:rRNA from 1 species